rnacentral:lncRNA from 1 species
UUUUUGUCAUAUUUGAUUUUCUUGGGCAUGUAUUACAGUAGUUAUUCGUCUACUUUCAUUGUUUACUGGCAUUGUUUAUGGGUAAAAUCAAGCUAGACAAGAAUUAGGAUAUUAUUUUUUCCCAAUUAGAGAACAGACAUUUACGUGCACCGGUGUCAAUAAAAUAAAAAGAAAAUAUUGUAGGAGUAAAGUACGAACUUGAAAUUUCUGUCUACGAUUAAAA